ensembl:lncRNA
CCAGCAUUUACAUACACGGGUUCUGAUUACCCCCAGGGCUGGGAGGAGGGGGACGCUGCUGCCUGGGCCUUUGAUGUUCCAGAGAAGAGAUGGUGAGAUGGCGCUGGGAGUCACUCCUACUGUGGGGUGUGUGCUUGGGGGGAGCCCUGUGAUAUCACAUCAGGAGCCCAAGGAUGGCAGAUAUUUUUCCCUGAACAAUUUGAGGGCACUGCCCCCAUGGGGAUGGUCGGCCAACCGAGGCCUCUGGUUCAUCACUUGCUAUCUGCUGGAGAACAUCAAACAGUUCAGGACUGGGUCCAUCUUGGUCAUCAUUCGCCCUUGAUUCUGAAUUUCUCUUACUUUAGGUGUAUGUCCCCCUACCCCAUCUUGGAGAGAAGAUUCUAGAGACCAUGGAAAAAAGGAGAAAAAAACUUUCUUCCUAAAUAUCCCUCUUAACCUUUCUUCACCAUUUAACACCCAUACCCAUGUCUCUGUCCAGGCUUCCAUCUUUUCUUACCCAGAAAUUAUUUCAACAGGGCCCCGGAAAAGUUCUCCCAGACUUCUUAUUUCCCUCUGAUUUAUUCCCCAGAACUUCCAUAGUGGUCUUGCUAAUGUGAGGAUGUAACCAUGCCGUGUCUCUGCUCAACGCCCUUUGACGCAGUACUGCCCUUACAGCCAGCAAGAGGGCCCCCUGCUCCAGGCCCCUCAAAGCAUGAACACGGCACUGGUGCAACAUUUGUUGAAACACCCUUGGAUGCCUAGAUUAUGCGGGAUCUGGUACUGAGUGCUGCUUGGCACAACCCAGAACUUUAAACAUCUGCUCUUGUGAUUAACACUGAUCACACCAGGAUGGUCUUGCUCUAAGAUCGUGAAACAAAAAG